GACGAGCGCUGGCGGCGUGCCUAAUACAUGCAAGUAGAACGCUGAAGGAGGAGCUUGCUUCUCUGGAUGAGUUGCGAACGGGUGAGUAACGCGUAGGUAACCUGCCUGGUAGCGGGGGAUAACUAUUGGAAACGAUAGCUAAUACCGCAUAAUAGCAGUUGUUGCAUGACAACUGUUUGAAAGGUGCAAUUGCACCACUACCAGAUGGACCUGCGUUGUAUUAGCUAGUUGGUGGGGUAACGGCUCACCAAGGCGACGAUACAUAGCCGACCUGAGAGGGGGAUCGGCCACACUGGGACUGAGACACGGCCCAGACUCCUACGGGAGGCAGCAGUAGGGAAUCUUCGGCAAUGGACGGAAGUCUGACCGAGCAACGCCGCGUGAGUGAAGAAGGUUUUCGGAUCGUAAAGCUCUGUUGUAAGAGAAGAACGAGUGUGAGAGUGGAAAGUUCACACUGUGACGGUAUCUUACCAGAAAGGGACGGCUAACUACGUG
rnacentral:rRNA from 1 species